rnacentral:rRNA from 1 species
CCUACGGGGGGCAGCAGUGGGGGAUAUUGCACAAUGGGGGAAACCCUGAUGCAGCGACGCCGCGUGGGUGAAGAAGCGCCUCGGCGCGUAAAGCCCUGUCAGCAGGGAAGAAAAUGACGGUAACUGAAGAAGAAGCACCGGCUAACUACGUGCCAGCAGCCGCGGUAAUACGUAGGGGGCAAGCGUUAUCCGGAUGUAAUGGGGGGAAAGGGGGCGCAGACGGCGAUGCAAGCAAGGAGUGAAAGCCCGGGGCCCAACCCCGGGACUGCUCUUGGAACUGCGUGGCUAGAGUGCAGGAGGGGAAGGCGGAAUUCCUGGUGUAGCGGUGGAAUGCGUAGAUAUCAGGAGGAACACCGGUGGCGAAGGCGACCUGCUGGACUGCAACUGACGUUGAGGCCCGAAAGCGUGGGGAGCAAACAGGAUUAGAUACCCUGGUAGUC